rnacentral:rRNA from 1 species
UAGAGAUGAGGUGUAAAGGUUUCUUGGUUUGCCAAACGUUCGGCUUAAUUAUUAUUGAGUGAGUACUCAAAGAAGGUGGAAAGCCUGUAAAACUGAACCGCUUUGUUUGAACCGAGAUACUAAAGAGUCUAGUUGUUUGGGAGUACAACUUAAAGCUGGUGGUAAAUUUCAUCAAAGGCUAAAUAUAAGAAGGGACUAAUAGCGAACAAGUACCAUGAGGGAAAGUUGAAAAGAACUCUGACGAGAGAGUUAAAAAGUACGUGAAACCAUAUUGAGUAAAACAGAUAACUGUGUUGUUAUGCGGUGCGCCUAUCAACAGCAAAUCUGUCAGUGUGAUUCCAUUCAUAUACGCUGAUCAUGCAGCUGCAUAGGUCUGGUUAGCAUAGUCAGAUGUUCUGUGUAUUAGUGUGCAUCCUAUCAUUGAGAAACUAUGCCAUCAUAGCUUCGGUACACAUCAGUCCGUACUAUGUAUGUAGCUGUGUACUGGGUCUAAUUGAAGGUGUCGUUUAGCUGUUGUGCAGUUGAGGCCGCGUUUACCGAAUAAAGCUGCUUUAUCUACAAUUCGGUUUAUUCCGAUUUGCGGUGAGUAUGCUCUAGUAAGUAAGUGGCCGUCAUCAAUGAUAAACAUUAGUUAUUUGACCCGUCUUGAAACACGGACCAAGGAGUUCAAAUGGCACGCAAGUCGUUGGGUUUUAUACCCGAAGGCGAAGUGAAAUGCAAAUGUAUUGUUAUUUGUGGUUGUUCCAUGAUUAAGCGAUAAGCUACCUGUGCUUU